rnacentral:lncRNA from 1 species
CAGCUACCCAAGCUCCAGGAGCUUCCGAAGAAACAGGACCAGAGAGGGAAGGUGACCUGAAAGUCACAGAAUAAUUUUUUAGAGCUGAACAAGAAUCCAAGCCUGCAACUGCAGAGACGAGAGAUCUUUCUGCUGUCUAUACUCUUGGAAAGCACAUCCUAAGAUCUUUGCAGAUUAUCCUGUGGAAGGAAAAUGCCUAAAGUCAAAAGAAGCCGGAAAGCACCCCCAGAUGGCUGGGAGUUGAUUGAGCCAACACUGGAUGAAUUAGAUCAAAAGAUGAGAGAAGGGCCGCAUCAUCGAGUGCACACACUGUGGCUGUCGUGGCUGCUCUGGCUGAGGCUGGCGCGCUCCACCCUGGACUCUGGACUUCGCAGGUUCCUGCCUGUCACGCCACCCCCUUCCUGGGAGCAGCGAGCAGUGCCCCAGGCCCGAGUUGGAGCACGGUCUCUAUGGGGAAGGCUUCGCUGUCUAUCAGCUGUGAUUUGUAAAAAUAAAAUCUUUAAAUCUCUCG